CGCGCUGGAGGAUGAAGGCUUUCGAGUUGUAAACUCCUGUUAAGUGGGAAGAAAGACCAUUGAUGAAUAAUUGAUGGGGAUGACGGUACCGCUAGAGAAAGCACCGGCAAACUUCGUGCCAGCAGCCGCGGUAAUACGAAGGGUGCAAGCGUUAUUCGGAGUUACUGGGCGUAAAGAGUAUGUAGGCGGUUUAUUAAGUUAGUUGUUAAAUCUCCUGGCUUAACCAGGAAAAGGCAGUUAAAACUGAUAGGCUAGAGCGCAGAAGAGAGAAGUGGAAUUCCCGGAGUAGCGGUAAAAUGCGUAGAUCUCGGGAGGAACAUCGGUUGCGAAGGCGGCUUCUUGGUCUGUUGCUGACGUUAAAGUACGAAAGCGUGGGGAGCAAACAGGAUUAGAUACCCUGGUAGUCCACGCCGUAAACGAUG
rnacentral:rRNA from 1 species